AUUGAACGCUGGCGGCAGGCCUAACACAUGCAAGUCGAGCGGUAACACAGGGAGCUUGCUCCUGGGUGACGAGCGGCGGACGGGUGAGUAAUGUCUGGGAAACUGCCUGAUGGAGGGGGAUAACUACUGGAAACGGUAGCUAAUACCGCAUAACGUCGCAAGACCAAAGAGGGGGACCUUCGGGCCUCUUGCCAUCAGAUGUGCCCAGAUGGGAUUAGCUAGUAGGUGGGGUAACGGCUCACCUAGGCGACGAUCCCUAGCUGGUCUGAGAGGAUGACCAGCCACACUGGAACUGAGACACGGUCCAGACUCCUACGGGAGGCAGCAGUGGGGAAUAUUGCACAAUGGGCGCAAGCCUGAUGCAGCCAUGCCGCGUGUAUGAAGAAGGCCUUCGGGUUGUAAAGUACUUUCAGCGGGGAGGAUGAUGACGGUACCCGUAGAAGAAGCCCCGGCUAACUUCGUGC
rnacentral:rRNA from 1 species